rnacentral:misc_RNA from 1 species
GAUGAAGAACGUAGCGAAAUGCGAUAAGUAAUGUGAAUUACAGAAUUCAGUGAAUCAUCGAAUCUUUGAACGCACAUUGCGCCCAUUAGUAUUCUAGUGGGCAUGCCUGUUCGAGCGUCAUUAAGUCCACUUAAGCCCUGCUUAGUGUUGGGAGACUGCUCCAGCGGUGCUACCCUGUAGCUACCCUGCAGCUCCUCAAAGACAGCGGCGGAGUUGUGGUAUCCUCUGAGCUUAGUAACUUGUUCUAGCUUUCGAGUACACCACUUCCCCUGCCGUAAAACCCUUAAUUUUUAAUGGUUGACCUCGGAUCAGGUAGGAAUACCCGCUGAACUUAAGCAUAUCAAUAAGCGGAGGA